UAGGGAAUCUUCCGCAAUGGGCGAAAGCCUGACGGAGCAACGCCGCGUGAGUGAUGAAGGUCUUCGGAUCGUAAAACUCUGUUAUUAGGGAAGAACAAAUGUGUAAGUAACUGUGCACGUCUUGACGGUACCUAAUCAGAAAGCCACGGCUAACUACGUGCCAGCAGCCGCGGUAAUACGUAGGUGGCAAGCGUUAUCCGGAAUUAUUGGGCGUAAAGCGCGCGUAGGCGGUUUCUUAAGUCUGAUGUGAAAGCCCACGGCUCAACCGUGGAGGGUCAUUGGAAACUGGGAAACUUGAGUGCAGAAGAGGAAAGUGGAAUUCCAUGUGUAGCGGUGAAAUGCGCAGAGAUAUGGAGGAACACCAGUGGCGAAGGCGACUUUCUGGUCUGUAACUGACGCUGAUGUGCGAAAGCGUGGGGAUCAAACAGGAUUAGAUACCCUGGUAGUCCACGCCGUAAACGAUGAGUGCUAAGUGUUAGGGGGUUUCCGCCCCUUAGUGCUGCAGCUAACGCAUUAAGCACUCCGCCUGGGGAGUACGACCGCAAGGUG
rnacentral:rRNA from 1 species